rnacentral:rRNA from 1 species
UACGGGCAGCAGUGGGGAAUAUUGCACAAUGGGCGCAAGCCUGAUGCAGCCAUGCCGCGUGUAUGAAAAAGGCCUUCGGGUUGUAAAGUACUUUCAGUCGUGAGGAAGGUAGUUAAGGUUAAUAACCUUAGCAAUUGACGUUAGCGACAGAAGAAGCACCGGCUAACUCCGUGCCAGCAGCCGCGGUAAUACGGAGGGUGCGAGCGUUAAUCGGAAUUACUGGGCGUAAAGGGCACGCAGGCGGUUAAUUAAGUUGGAUGUGAAAUCCCCGGGCUUAACCUGGGAAUGGCAUUCAAGACUGGUUAGCUAGAGUCUUGUAGAGGGGGUAGAAUUCCAUGUGUAGCGGUGAAAUGCGUAGAGAUGUGGAGGAAUACCGGUGGCGAAAGGCGGCCCCUGGGACAAAGACUGACGCUCAUGUGCGAAAGCGUGGGGAGCAAAACAGGGAUUAGAUACC